UUAAGUUCAGCGGGUAUCCCUACCUGAUCCGAGGUCAACCUUUAAAAAUUGGGGGUUGAUGGCAAGUAUCCAUCUGACAUCCAUAGCGAGAAGAAUUACUACGCUUAGAGCCAGACGGCACCGCCACUGAUUUUAAGGCACGCUAUUGCUAGCGAGGCCCAAUACCAAGCAGAGCUUGAGGGUUGUAAUGACGCUCGAAC
rnacentral:misc_RNA from 1 species